AGCGAACGCUGGCGGCAGGCCUAACACAUGCAAGUCGAACGAACCUUUCGGGGUUAGUGGCGGACGGGUGAGUAACACGUGGGAACGUGCCUUUAGGUUCGGAAUAACUCAGGGAAACUUGUGCUAAUACCGAAUGUGCCCUUCGGGGGAAAGAUUUAUCGCCUUUAGAGCGGCCCGCGUCUGAUUAGCUAGUUGGUUGAGGUAAUGGCUCACCAAGGCGACGAUCAGUAGCUGGUCUGAGAGGAUGAUCAGCCACAUUGGGACUGAGACACGGCCCAAAAUCCUACGGGAGGCAGCAGUGGGGAAUCUUGCGCAAUGGGCGAAAGCCUGACGCAGCCAUGCCGCGUGAAUGAUGAAGGUCUUAGGAUUGUAAAAUUCUUUCACCGGGGACGAUAAUGACGGUACCCGGAGAAGAAGCCCCGGCUAACUUCGUG
rnacentral:rRNA from 1 species